CAAGAAGGUAAAGGGACAAAAUCCACCAAUCAGAAGAACCUUGGGGAGAAGACCAAGACGGAUAAUGCCAAAAAGAAUGAUAAUAAAGGGGAUCAGAAACUAUCCAUGGAUGAAAAUGCGAAUGAUACUCAUCAAUCCAAGAAGCAGGUGAAAGGUGGUCAACAAGACCAAAAAGGAAAGCAAAAACCAACUGGUAAACAAGGCCCGGCCGCGGAAAAGAAGGCUGGUUCGAGCAUGGAUGCUGAGGUUAAGGUUGAAGUUGCGAGGAAUCAGCAGUCAGCUGCUGGGGGAGGAGACGUACCAGAAAAACCGGAUGAUGUCGAAAACACCGGGGACAAUCAAGAAUCUGAGGACCGCGUUGAACCUCCUCCAAAAAG
ensembl:lncRNA